UACGUAGGGUGCGAGCGUUAAUCGGAAUUACUGGGCGUAAAGCGUGCGCAGGCGGUCUGUCGCGUCGGAUGUGAAAACUCGGGGCUCAACCCCGAGCCUGCAUUCGAUACGGGCAGACUAGAGUUCGGUAGGGGAGACUGGAAUUCCUGGUGUAGCGGUGAAAUGCGCAGAUAUCAGGAGGAACACCGGUGGCGAAGGCGGGUCUCUGGGCCGAUACUGACGCUGAGGAGCGAAAGCUAGGGGAGCAAACGGG
rnacentral:rRNA from 1 species